UAGCCAGACUCCUACGGGAGGCAGCAGUGGGGAAUAUUGCACAAUGGGGGAAACCCUGAUGCAGCGACGCCGCGUGGGUGAAGAAGCGCCUCGGCGCGUAAAGCCCUGUCAGCAGGGAAGAAAAUGACGGUACCUGAAGAAGAAGCCCCGGCUAACUACGUGCCAGCAGCCGCGGUAAUACGUAGGGGGCAAGCGUUAUCCGGAUUUACUGGGUGUAAAGGGCGUGUAGCCGGGCUUACAAGUCAGAUGUGAAAUCCGGGGGCUCAACCCCCGAACUGCAUUUGAAACUGUAGGUCUUGAGUAUCGGAGAGGCAGGCGGAAUUCCUAGUGUAGCGGUGAAAUGCGUAGAUAUUAGGAGGAACACCAGUGGCGAAGGCGGCUUACUGGACUGUAACUGACGUUGAGGCUCGAAAGCGUGGGGAGCAAACAGGAUUAGAUACCCUAGUACUU
rnacentral:rRNA from 1 species